GGACCAUUAACUCAGUUGGUUUAGAGUGUUACCUUGACAGGGUAGAAGUCACUGGUUCGAAUCCAGUAUGGUCCACCA
rnacentral:tRNA from 1 species